ACCAUGAGACGAUCACCUACUCGUCUCCCACAUUUUGUCCAUUAGAUGGCCAUCAGCCUGUGCCGGCUGUUAUGCCAACUCUCCCCAACGAAGAAAAUUUAGCCGAACAUUUCUCUCAUCAGCUAUUUAGAAUCUCAUGCAAGUGGAUAUUUGAUUAGCUUCACAGGUCUCCGUCCAGAUAAUAUUCACGCACGUGAGCAUUUCUUCCCCGGGUGCAUAUUAAUGUUGCAUAUUUAUAUUUAUACUUAUGGACAUUAGGCAUUAACGGAGGCAAUUUAGAGGCAAUCGUUGCGCCAAUUUAGGAACAAUGUGCCCACACAACUACGUAAAACUGGGUAUGUCACGACAAUCAGUCGUGCAACAGGUAGGUGAUAUAAAUUGUUUUAAAUCGCUUUAAUCGCUACCUUACCCUACCUAAAGAGCGCUCUGGGGAUGGUAAGGGGCGAUAUAAAUGGGUAAUUCCAAUUAGGUGAUGGCAUGUGUUAAUUUUAAAUUUUUAUCUUUUACAGGCGCAGAUGCAGCACCUUUGGAAAUUC